UACGUAGGGGGCUAGCGUUGUCCGGAAUCAUUGGGCGUAAAGCGCGCGUAGGUGGCUUCGUAAGUCCGUUGUGAAAGUCAAAGGCUCAACCUUUGAAAGCCGGUGGAUACUGUGGGACUAGAGUACGGAAGAGGCGAGUGGAAUUCCUGGUGUAGCGGUGGAAUGCGCAGAUAUCAGGAGGAACACCAAUAGCGAAGGCAGCUCGCUGGGACGUUACUGACACUGAGGCGCGAAAGCGUGGGGAGCGAACAGG
rnacentral:rRNA from 1 species